rnacentral:rRNA from 1 species
AUUGAACGCUGGCGGCAUGCCUUACACAUGCAAGUCGAACGGUAACAGCACUUCGGUGGCUGACGAGUGGCGGACGGGUGAGUAAUACAUCGGAACGUGCCCGAUCUGGGGGAUAACUACUCGAAAGAGUGGCUAAUACCGCAUACGAGUCUACGGAUGAAAGCGGGGGAUCGCAAGACCUCGCGCGGACGGAGCGGCCGAUGGCAGAUUAGGUAGUUGGUGGGAUAAAAGCUUACCAAGCCGACGAUCUGUAGCUGGUCUGAGAGGACGACCAGCCACACUGGGACUGAGACACGGCCCAGACUCCUACGGGAGGCAGCAGUGGGGAAUUUUGGACAAUGGGGGAAACCCUGAUCCAGCCAUGCCGCGUGCAGGAUGAAGGCCUUCGGGUUGUAAACUGCUUUUGUACGGAACGAAAAGACUCUUUCUAAUACAGAGGGUCCAUGACGGUACCGUAAGAAUAAGCACCGGCUAACUACGUG